ensembl:lncRNA
AAGGCCGCCUCACUCUCAGAGAUCUCACCAGAAGAUACUCAGCACCACCUGUAAUCCUCCUCAGGGCCGAGUCCCUGAUCCUUGCCUCCUCAGGCUUCUGCUUUGACCAGCACUUUGGGCCUGAAUAUUACUACCACCUCAACACAAGCCACCAGGACUAUUUCAAGCCUUGAAAAAUUAUGCCUGGGACCAACUCUAGGAAGACAUUCAACCAGAAAGGUGACUACAACAUGCUCACCACCAACCAGGUAUUCUUCCCUCCACAACCCCCUGAACAAGUCUUUCCAGUUCAGAUUCGAAGAAGAAAAGCUGCACCACUGGAAUACCAGAAUUAUGCAGGCUAUCUCACUAGAGACUUUCAUACUGUGCAUAAGGAAGCCUACGGUGGCUGGGAUCCAAGCAACUAUCAGCAGCCAAAACCUAUACACCUGAAGGAUGAGCUUACCAAUAUGAUGGGCAACAGCAAUGCCAAGUUUGACGACUCCACAGUAACCAAGAUCUCCUUCCUACCACCCUCCAAAACAAUAAGAGUGGUCACAGGCAAGCAGCCCACCAGCAUAUUCAAAGUUCCUGAAAGGAAGUUUCAGGAUAUCUCCACCAAUAAGGAAUUUUUUCAAAACUGGGGAGUCCAACCCCGGACCCAUCACAGAGAUAUCCAUGAUGGGGGAACCUACCUUAAGCCUGUGCAACCAUUUGAGAGCCAAACCACCACCAAGAGCAAUUUCUUACCUAUAAUUGUCAAAAAGGUGAAGUCAUUCAAACCCAAAAGCAGCAGCAUCAUCGACAGUGAGGGAAAACAUGAGUUUUCCACUGCAUACAAGGAGGCAUACAGGCCACUUCAGUUGCCCAGCAGUCCACUGAACAACUGUUUGAUCCAAAACCAGGACAAAGAUAGAACAAACACAGAGACUACAACUGAACUCACCUGA